rnacentral:lncRNA from 1 species
GAUUUCGUCUGUAGACGUUGUGCUGGUAAGACGUGUGUGCGCCAAGAAGUGUGUUUGUCAUCUGUCUUGUCACGAGGUUGAUUAACUUCGUAUGUCAGGAGUGUAUACAACAAGGAAGGAGGUCGGGUUUAGCACCUGCGUCCCUACAUGCGUGCACUACCAACUGGUAGAGAAACAUCUAUCACCCAAACUAGCUCCUCACAGCGGCUCUCGAGUCCGACCUGUGCCCGACGAAGCGCCUGAGAAGUCCAUGUGACACCAGUUCAUCUCCAGGUCUGUCUGUCUCAGAAAAGGAUGAAAACCGCGAAGGCGUGCGGUCCGGCACAGCAGUGUAUACAACAAGGAAGGAGGUCGGGUUUAGCACCGGCGUCCCUACAUGCGUGCACUACCAACUGGUAGAGAAACAUCUAUCACCCAAACUAGCUCCUCACAGCGGCUCUCGAGUCCGACCUGUGCCCGACGAAGCGUCUGAGAAGUCCAUGUGACACCAGUUCAUCUCCGGGUCUGUGUCUCAGAAAAGGAUGAAGACCGCGAAGGCGUGCGGUCCGGCACAGGUAGGGGCUGGUCCGUUUCAACGCGUUCAUUGGAGGCAUAGGGUAUCAGGAAUUAUUCGGUCUUGGCAUUAAAGGUAAUAUAGAGGUAGAACUCGGAGGAGAGUUCAUAAUCAGAAUAGAAUAGGCUCACGUAGAACUCGUAAAUGGCAGAAAUAGGCUCACGUGGAACUUUAAUAGCAGAAAUAUGCUAACAUAUGGUUUGUAUUCGCCAGAGAAAGUGUCGGGAGGAGAAUACCUAGUGCCAAACAAACAUAUGGUUUGUGUUCACCAGAGGAAGUGUCGGGAGAACCCCUAUGGUCUGAGAUAGAUGUAGGGUAGGGGAUUCAUUCAUUUCUGAGGUAAAUUUGACCCUCCUUGGGUAAAUCCAGCUUGCGUUGGGAUUAGGUGCACCAGGUUGAGUGAUACCAGGUAGGGUUGUUAGGCUAGUGGGAUAUUGCGUUGUGCGAGCGAGUUGUUGGGUGCCGUGACAUUUCAGCUCUAGCAGUUUCAUUUGUGCUGUGAAGCAGUGUACCAUUAAAUGUAAAGCAUCAAUUAAAUGUGUUAGUGUUGAACGUCACGGCACCCUACAUUCGGUGUUUAAUAAGUAAUGUUUCUGAAUGUUGUAAGGUUUGUUGUGUAAAGGCUUGAAAAUGUUUUAAUGAAUUUUUUUGUUGGCUGUUAAAUUAUCCGUAAAUAAAAAUGUUAGUUAAAUUUUUUUCUGUGAAAUUACCGUAAUCGUCACUAUCUGGUGCACAUGCUAGGUACAGCACCACACGCCAGUGAAGUCCUUAAGUAAUACACGUAGCUGCAUUUAAUUUGUUACUUUAUCAUAGAAAAGGUCUUUGAUAUGGAUAAAGAAUGAUCUAAGGACAAAAUUGUGAAGAAUGUUUCUGAUUGAUGAUUGAUUGCAGCAGUGUAUACAACAAGGAAGGAGGUCGGGUUUAGCACCUGCGUCCCUACAUGUGGGCACUACCAACUUGGUAGAGAAACAUCUAUCACCCAAACUAGCUCCUCACAGCGGCUCUCGAGUCCGACCUGUGCCCGACGAAGCGUCUGAGAAGUCCAUGUGACACCAGUUCAUCUCCAGGUCUGUGUCUCAGAAAAGGAUGAAGACCGCGAAGGCGUGCGGUCCGGCACAGGUCCUGCCACUGCUGAAGGGAGAACCAAACCAGUGUGUCGUAACUACCCCUAACCUGCGUCAGGAAACUUGCUCUUCUUGAACUGGAAGAUGCCGUCUCGCUGCAACUUCCACGGAGGACAGCUCUGCCCUGAUGCCACUGCUGAAGGGAGAACCAAACCAGCGUGUCGUAACAACCCCUAACCUGCGUCAGGAAACUGGCACUUCUUGCACUGGAAGGUGCCGUUUCUCUGCACCUUCCAUGGAAGACGGCUCUGCCCUGACGACCCUUGUUGCCAUCUAGGGAGGGUGGACAUACUGCCUCGCUUCACCUUUCUCGGAGGAACUGGAGCCUGCCUCGCACCAGGUCUGCCCUGACAAAACCGGUUUCCAUCACGGGGGGGGAAGACACGCUGCCUCGUUUCACCUUCUUUGGAGGAAUUGGACCCUGCUUAACACAAUCUCGCCUGGUAACACGUGGUGUCAUCCAGGGAGAGGACAUUUGCCUCGCUGCACCUUCCACGUUGGAAUUGAACUGUUCCUUGACAACACUCGGUGCCAUCCAGGGAGGGAAGGAGGACAGACUGCCUCGCUUCAUUUAACUUAACCUAACCAAUACAUGUUGCCAAUCACUCUUGUAAUGUUGUUAUUCCUUCCAUGUUCUGUGACGUACCCUUUUAGUAAUUAAUAAAUCAUGAUUAGGAAAAUUGA